UACGUAGGGUGCAAGCGUUGUCCGGAAUUAUUGGGCGUAAAGAGCUCGUAGGUGGCCUGUCGCGUCGGCUGUGAAAACUCGGGGCUCAACUCCGAGCUUGCAGUCGAUACGGGCAGGCUAGAGUUCGGCAGGGGAGACUGGAAUUCCUGGUGUAGCGGUGAAAUGCGUAGAUAUCGGGAGGAACACCUGUGGCGAAGGCGGUUUCCUGGAGCUAACUUGACGCUGAGACGCGAAAGCUGGGGGAGCAAACGGG
rnacentral:rRNA from 1 species